GCGUGCCUAACACAUGCAAGUCGAACGGAACUACUAGGAAGGAUCUCUUCGGAGAAACGGAAUUUUAGUUUAGUGGCGGACGGGUGAGUAACGCGUGAGUAACCUGCCUUUGAGAGGGGAAUAACGUUCUGAAAAGAACGCUAAUACCGCAUAACAUAUACUGAUCGCAUGGUCGGUAUAUCAAAGAUUUUAUCGCUCAAAGAUGGACUCGCGUCCGAUUAGCUUGUUGGCGGGGUAACGGCCCACCAAGGCGACGAUCGGUAGCCGGACUGAGAGGUUGAACGGCCACAUUGGGACUGAGACACGGCCCAGACUCCUACGGGAGGCAGCAGUGGGGGAUAUUGCGCAAUGGGGGCAACCCUGACGCAGCAACGCCGCGUGAAGGAUGAAGGUUUUCGGAUUGUAAACUUCUUUUGUCAGGGACGAAAUCUGACGGUACCUGACGAAUAAGCUCCGGCUAACUACGUGCCAGCAGCCGCGGUAAUACGUAGGGAGCAAGCGUUGUCCGGAUUUACUGGGUGUAAAGGGUGCGUAGGCGGCUAAGCAAGUCAGAUGUGAAAUCUAUGGGCUCAACCCAUAAACUGCAUUUGAAACUGCAUAGCUUGAGUGAAGUAGAGGCAGGCGGAAUUCCCCGUGUAGCGGUGAAAUGCGUAGAGAUGGGGAGGAACACCAGUGGCGAAGGCGGCCUGCUGGGCUUUAACUGACGCUGAGGCACGAAAGCGUGGGUAGCAAACAGGAUUAGAUACCCUG
rnacentral:rRNA from 1 species